rnacentral:rRNA from 1 species
ACGGAGGGUGCAAGCGUUAUCCGGAUUUAUUGGGUUUAAAGGGUGCGUAGGCGGGUUAUUAAGUCAGUGGUGAAAGCCUACAGCUCAACUGUGGAAUUGCCAUUGAUACUGAUAGUCUUGAAUUUAGUUGAGGUAGGCGGAAUAAGACAUGUAGCGGUGAAAUGCAUAGAUAUGUCUUAGAACACCGAUUGCGAAGGCAGCUUACUAAGCUAAUAUUGACGCUGAGGCACGAAAGCGUGGGGAGCGAACAGG